CCGCCCUGGAAUCCCACUUGGUGUUAUGUUAUUGUUUUCCGACCACAACCUGUUGGAACCCAACACUGAAAUCUUAUUAAACCGUUUUUGGCAUCCCGUCGAAUGAAAUCCAGAAACGUUACAGAAGAAGAUUAAGCUGAAGAAAGUACUUUAAUGUACUCAUCAAGACUAGCUCUCUACUCUUCCCACGAUUUGGGAAGGGGAAGGAGAAACGUAAGGAUUGAACUCCGGCGGCAUGGUGGUGGCGGCACCACCAAAGAUGGGAGCAGGCGGAGGAGGAGUGGCAUCGUUAGGCUUGGGGUAAUGAGCGUGGUCAGAGGAGUGAGAAGUUUGAGAUCCGAUGCGGCAGGAGUAUAAAUCUGGUUGCCAUCGUGAUUCUCUUGCUCAUUCAUGAUUUAAUUCUCAUGAUUCUUCACCAUUCUUCCUCUUCUUUCAGUUGGAUCUUAUGUUAAUUGUAGUUUGACGUUAAAAAUAAUUUAUUUAUUUUAUUUUCUUUUUAUUGGUAAUAAAAAUGAAAAGGUGGCACAGUUCUACGCAAGUUCCGUUUUGUGAUUUCUGCAAUAGUAUUUUUUUUUUUGAAAAACUUCUGUGAUAAUAAUUUGGCAUAUGAUCUUAAUUAGUUUGGAUUAUUAUUAUUAUUAUUAUUAUUAUUAUAUUAUUAUUAUUAUUAUUAUUAUUAUUAUUUUUUCUUUAUUUUGUAACAAGUUUGGAUUAUUAUUUUUUUCUUCCUUUUUUGGUUUUAAUGUGGAAACUCUAAUUCAUUGAUUUUAUGGACAAGACACAUUAGAUUGUUUUGCUUGCACGGAUAUUUUUAAAACACAAUUUGUUAUAGCAAUAACAUCCUUUCCUUUCUAUAUUGAAGAUAUGAAUAACAUACAAUUAUAGAAUAAAUUUCCAAAAAUAUUUUCUCCCAGCAUUAAAUAGCAUUUAGUACCCAGUGGUGUCUGAGUAAAGACCAAGAUCCGCACUUGCCUGUUUGGUCUUUAAUUUGGUUAGGUAAAGAUAAUAUAGAUCAAUUUUCUGGCUUGGUCUUCCGUGUUGUUUGUAUAAAAGAUAACUAGAUUUUGAUCCGCACUUUCAAAGCGUGAAUAUUAUUAGGGAAAAUUGCCAAUAGAGAACAAAAAAACAAGGGUGUUGUCCCCUAAAUAUAAAUCCAUCACAUAAUUGUUCUAAUGGUAUAAAUUUUUUCAUAAUACCAAUUUUAACCUUUCAUUAAGUGAUUUAAAAAUAUAUAAAACAAGAUUAAUUAAUUAGAAGAAAAAAAUAGAAAACGUCAUCGUCUUUUCCAAAACAGAAAACGUCAUCGACUUCGUUCAAUCGUUACUUUUCUAGGGUUUGAUAGAAUUGGAAUCAUGGGUUUCUCUAAAGUUCAAUCCUUUGUUCGAUGAUUAGGGUUUGGGUUUUAUUGGGUUGCUCAUCUCGUGUCUUCCUCACUCUCGAUUCAAUAGAUCCGGGAACCAUCGAACCAAACGUUACAUCGUCGCUGCCGUCUCACUGAUUCAUUGAUACUCACAGCUUCUCUGUGGAUCUCUCGAGCUUCAAGCUUGAUCCACUCUCGGUUCAAGCCAAGGAAUCUGAGCUCAACGUCUCUUGUCUCUCACUCUCUCAACCCUUUGAAGCUCUUAAACUCUUAGUCUCGUCUCUGUCUCUCAAUCUCUCAACCCUCUCAGGGACCUGCUCAAGCUCAGAAGUUAAGGGAUUCGCUUGUGGAGGCAAAGUCUGACAUUGUUGUUAAGAUUGGACUUAGAAAGGGCUCUCGCUCAUUUGAGGAAGCACGUGAUCUGGUGUUGCUUUUGAGGUACAAUGCUAAGCACAGAACCGAGCUUGGAUUCUAAGUGAAAGCUCAAGCAUGUUGUCUUUUGUUUUGUUGAAUUUUGAAUUUUCCUAAGUUUUUUGUAUUUUUGUUAUGACGUUUUUACAUUUAUGCUAGACAAUGUUACCAGAUUUUAUAUUUAUAAGAGUGAAGACAAAAUUAUGCUUCA